rnacentral:sRNA from 1 species
GUGAGGUCACUAGGCUUGCAGGCCAGGCAGCGCCAGGAGUAUGGUCGAGAUGCUACCAACUGCCAUUCUGCUGGUCUUGGCGGUGUCCGUAGUUGCUAAAGAUAACGCCACGUGUGAUGGCCCCUGUGGGUUACGGUUCAGGCAGAACCCACAAGGUGGUGUCCGCAUCGUCGGCGGGAAGGCUGCACAGCAUGGGGCCUGGCCCUGGAUGGUCAGCCUCCAGAUCUUCACGUACAACAGCCACAGGUACCACGCAUGUGGAGGCAGCUUGCUGAAUUCACGAUGGGUGCUCACUGCUGCUCACUGCUUCGUUGGCAAAAAUAAAGUGCAUGACUGGAGACUGGUUUUCGGAGCAAAGGAAAUUACGUAUGGGAACAAUAAACCAGUAAAGGCGCCUGUGCAAGAGAGAUAUGUGGAGAAAAUCAUCAUUCAUGAAAAAUACAACUCUGCGACAGAGGGAGAUGACAUUGCCCUCGUGAAGAUCACCCCUCCCAUUUCGUGUGGGAGCUUCAUUGGGCCGGGCUGCCUGCCCCACUUUAAGGCAGGCCUCCCCAGAGGCUCCCAGAGCUGCUGGGUGGCUGGCUGGGGAUAUAUAGAAGAGAAAGGUGAGUAUGGGAGCGCCUCCAAGGGGGGGACGCUGCUGGCCGUUCUCCUGGUGGUCACGUGUUGACACCCAGCCAAGCAACUUUCAUCCUCCUCACGGCGCUAUACGUAGAGCCAUCACUGUUGCCUUCCACAGUCCCCUGUGCCAGGUCACAUGAUGGGUGACGUGUCUGGCUGUCUACGGGAGGGCUGAUGGCAGGUGCAGGGAGAGCUGCAGCAUUGCUUAGAAUGGGGUUGAGGCUGUGUCUGUAUUUGGCACCCGGGGCCCAAGCUGCUGGAUCCUGGAGACAAGGAGCAACCCUGAAACAGCCUUUGGAGAAGAGCUCCAGAUAAGCUUAUGUGGCUGUAUGACAGUGCCUUCCACUCUCG